AUGGAUGAAGAUGCAGAAAAUGAAAUGGAAGUACAUGUAGGAGAAGAAAUGGAAGGAGAUGCAAGAGAUGGAAUGGAAGCAGAUGAAAUUGUGCAAAAUCCAGGUGUUGGGCAAGUUGCUAGGAAAUAUAAUACCCUCAACGACCAGCAAAAAUUUGUUGCUUAUGUAGCAAUGCAUACACUGUGUAUGAGUAGAGGAGGCACUUUUUUGGGAACUGAUAAGCAAGACAUUGCAACUUUUCUUGGAGUGGGUGUUUGUAAUAUACCAAGAAUUUGGAGGAAAGCAAUGAAGCAAAUUAGAGAAGGCCUGGAGGUGGAUGUUUCUAAUAAAAAAAAGGAAAUUAUGGAAGAAAGCCUAAGGACAUUAACCUACAAAAAAUCCUAA
rnacentral:rRNA from 1 species